rnacentral:rRNA from 1 species
UGGGGAAUAUUGGACAAUGGGCGAAAGCCUGAUCCAGCCAUGCCGCGUGUGUGAAGAAGGUCUUCGGAUUGUAAAGCACUUUAAGUUGGGAGGAAGGGUUGUAGAUUAAUACUCUGCAAUUUUGACGUUACCGACAGAAUAAGCACCGGCUAACUCUGUGCCAGCAGCCGCGGUAAUACAGAGGGUGCAAGCGUUAAUCGGAAUUACUGGGCGUAAAGCGCGCGUAGGUGGUUUGUUAAGUUGGAUGUGAAAUCCCCGGGCUCAACCUGGGAACUGCAUCCAAAACUGGCAAGCUAGAGUAUGGUAGAGGGUGGUGGAAUUUCCUGUGUAGCGGUGAAAUGCGUAGAUAUAGGAAGGAACACCAGUGGCGAAGGCGACCACCUGGACUGAUACUGACACUGAGGUGCGAAAGCGUGGGGAGCAAACAGGAUUAGAUACCCGCGUAGUCCCUGAGCGGGCUGGCAAGGCGCAU